UACGGAAGGUCCAGGCGUUAUCCGGAAUUAUUGGGCGUAAAGGGUGCGUAGGCGGUAUAUUAAGUCUUUUGUGAAAGACAAUGGCUCAACCAUUGAUAUGCAAAAGAAACUAAUACACUAGAGUUUAGUAGAGGUAAGUGGAAUUUCAUGUGGAGCGGUGGAAUGCGUAGAUAUAUGAAGGAACACCAAUGGCGAAGGCAGCUUACUGGGCUAUAACUGACGCUGAGGCACGAAAGCACGGGGAGCAAAUAGG
rnacentral:rRNA from 1 species